AAACGACAUUUGCUUUCAUAUACGGACCAUCCCUAAAGCAAGUGGCAAAGGGUUUGGUGGUUGGUACCCGAGACUCAAGUUCAAAUCCUAGUUGAUUCACAUUUCUAGCUAAGUUUAUUUCUAAAUGAAAUAAAUGAAGCGCGUAGCGUGCUACCUAUCUCUCAAAAAAACAUUUGCUUUUAUAUGCUUUUUCCACUUUAAUACUAGUUAUUGACAGCAAUAUUUGUUCUGAUAUAUUCAUCACGCUUCUCGUGAAUAUCUAAAUAGUUUCUUUGCUAAUAUUUUUUUUAGAAAAACUUCAAAUGUCACCCAUGUGGUUUCGCAUUUUUUCACUUUAGUAUACUAUGGUUUAAAGUGUAUCAAUUUAGUACCCUAUGGUUUCGCACUUUUUCAAUUUAGUACCCUAUGGUUUAAAGUACAUCAAUUUAGUACCAUAUGGUUUUAUUUUUCUCUUUUCGUCGGCUCCUCUGUUAAUAUUUUAUAAAAUUAUAUACAAAAAAUUUCAGAUACCCUAUCUAGAUCUAUCGAAUAUUUACUUUAGCACCCUUUAGUUUUAACUUUGUCACCGAUUUUUUUUUCUUCCGUUAAUAUUUCGUUAAAAUAUAUACGAAAAAAUUUAGAUAUCCUAUCUAGGUUUAUCGAAUAUUCAUUUUAAUACCCUUUAAUUUUAACUUUGUUAAUGAUUUAACGAAAAAAAUUAGUGAAAUGGAUAAUAAAAAGAGAAAAAUGAAACCGCAGGAUCUUAAAACUUGAUGCACUCUAAACCACAGGGUACUAAAGUAACAAAGUGUGAAACCACGAGGGGUAUUUAAAGUUUAUGCCUUUUUUAUAUUAUCUUAUGAAAUGUUUGGAUGUGAUUACCAUAGUGGUAUCCGAAUGGAAAUAGUAUUUUAGAACAAAUAUCACUUCCCACAUAUUAAACCAUUUAGGGCAUAUUUGGUUCAUGUUUGGAAUGGGAAUGGAAAAUGGAAUUGGAUUGCUUUGGAAUGGAAAAUGGAAUGACGAAUCAUUCAAAAAUGUUUGGUUCAUUAUUGGAAUGAAAAUCGGAAUGAAAAUUUAAAAUUGUUGAGAUAGGGUUUUGAUUUAAGAUAGAGGAGAGUGACGAAGGGAGAGGAGGUGGGUGUUGGUGAAAGAGAAUUUUGAAUAGUUUGCUUUGGAAUGAGCCAAUCCGGGAUUCAAAGCCGGAUUAGAUCAUAAAUGAAUUUGGCCAUUCCCAUUCCGGAGUGGAAUGGAAAUCGAAAUCCAAUUCCUAUAAAACAAACAACAACUAUCGGAAUCAAUGAAUUCCAUUCCGAUUCCAUAGUCUAAAAUAGGUGAACCAAACAUGCCCUUAAUAAAAAUUUGGAAAAUAUGUA
rnacentral:lncRNA from 1 species